CAAAACGUAGCUUAGCCACUUAAAGCAUCCGGCUUACACCCGGAAGACUUCUGA
rnacentral:tRNA from 1 species